rnacentral:rRNA from 1 species
GAUGAACGCUGGCGGCGUGCUUAACACAUGCAAGUCGAACGGAAAGGCUCCUGCUUGCAGGGGUACUCGAGUGGCGAACGGGUGAGUAACACGUGGGUGAUCUGCCCUGCACUUCGGGAUAAGCCUGGGAAACUGGGUCUAAUACCGGAUAGGACGAUGGUUUGGAUGCCAUUGUGGAAAGUUUUUCGGUGUGGGAUGAGCUCGCGGCCUAUCAGCUUGUUGGUGGGGUAAUGGCCUACCAAGGCGUCGACGGGUAGCCGGCCUGAGAGGGUGUACGGCCACAUUGGGACUGAGAUACGGCCCAGACCCCUACGGGAGGCAGCAGUGGGGAAUAUUGCACAAUGGGCGCAAGCCCGAUGCAGCGACGCCGCGUGGGGGAUGACGGCCUUCGGGUUGUAAACUCCUUUCGCUAGGGACGAAGCGCAAGUGACGGUACCUGGAGAAGAAGCACCGGCUAACUACGUG